GACCUGGUGGUGUAUAGCAACACACCUGCUAUGCAUAAAUGGAAGAUAUACGCAUAAUUGGCAGGAGAUCCCCGUUCGAUUCGGGGUCAGGUCA